AUCAACUUUCGAUGGUAGGAUAGAUGCCUACCAUGGUUUUAACGGGUAACGGGGAAUUAGGGUUCGAUUCCGGAGAGGGAGCCUGAGAAACGGCUACCACAUCCAAGGAAGGCAGCAGGCGCGCAAAUUACCCAAUCCCGACACGGGGAGGUAGUGACAAUAAAUAACAAUACGGGGCUCAUUUGGGUCUCGUAAUUGGAAUGAGUACAAUUUAAAUCCCUUAACGAGGAACAAUUGGAGGGCAAGUCUGGUGCCAGCAGCCGCGGUAAUUCCAGCUCCAAUAGCGUAUAUUAAAGUUGUUGCAGUUAAAAAGCUCGUAGUUGAACUUCGGGGUUUACCCAUUGGUCAGGUUUAAUUAUCUGUACUGGUGAGAUAAAUCUCUACCUUCUGAGGAACUUUCAUGCCAUUUAUUUGGUGUGGGAGGAAAUCAGGACUGUUACUUUGAAAAAAUUAGAGUGUUUAAAGCAGGCUAACGUCUGAAUACAUUAGCAUGGAAUAAUGAAAUAGGACGGACUGAUUCUAUUUCGUUGGUUUCUAGGAUCACCGUAAUGAUUAAUAGGGAUAGUUGGGGGCAUUAGUAUUCAAUUGUCAGAGGUGAAAUUCUUGGAUUUAUUGAAGACUAACUACUGCGAAAGCAUUUGCCAAGGAUGUUUUCAUUAAUCAAGAACGAAAGUUGGGGGAUCGAAGACGAUCAGAUACCGUCGUAGUCUUAACCAUAAACUAUGCCGACUAGGGAUCGGACGAAGUUAAUUUUAUAAUGACGCGUUCGGCACCUUACGGGAAACCAAAGUGUUUGGGUUC
rnacentral:rRNA from 1 species